rnacentral:lncRNA from 10 species
AAGCUUGCACCAACUAUUAUCCCUGAGAUGACCUUGGCUGUGGAACCCAGAUUCUGUUCAGGGCCGAGAGCGCCACCUGGUGAUUCCAGUUUGUAAACGGAGGCUGGUGGGACCUCAACCCCAGCUGGUAUCCAGGCUCUUGACACCAUCUGGAGAAGGAAUUCAAGAGUGUGUCAGAAAAUGAUGAAAGUACAAAGAUUUAUUGCAAAGCGAAAAAUACACACUCAAGAAAGGGGAGUAUGGGUGGACUCAAGACAGAGUCCGAUGGGACUUGGGGUUUCUACCUUUUGGGUUUCUUUUUUUUUUUUUUUUGAUAUGGAGUCUCGCACUGUUGCCCAGGCUGGAGCGCAGUGGCGUGAUUUUGGC